rnacentral:rRNA from 1 species
CCUACGGGGUGCAGCAGUGGGGAAUAUUGGACAAUGGGCGAAAGCCUGAUCCAGCCAUGCCGCGUGUGUGAAGAAGGCCUUCGGGUUGUAAAGCACUUUCAGUGGGGAAGAAAGCCUUGGGGCUAAUACCCUCGAGGAAGGACAUCACCCACAGAAGAAGCACCGGCUAACUCCGUGCCAGCAGCCGCGGUAAUACGGAGGGUGCGAGCGUUAAUCGGAAUUACAGGGCGUAAAGCGCGCGUAGGCGGUCUGAUAAGCCGGUUGUGAAAGCCCCGGGCUCAACCUGGGAACGGCAUCCGGAACUGUCAGGCUAGAGUGCAGGAGAGGAAGGUAGAAUUCCCGGUGUAGCGGUGAAAUGCGUAGAGAUCGGGAGGAAUACCAGUGGCGAAGGCGGCCUUCUGGACUGACACUGACGCUGAGGUGCGAAAGCGUGGGUAGCAAACAGGAUUAGAUACCCCAGUAGUC